rnacentral:lncRNA from 1 species
AUAACCUCAGAGAAGCUCUGGUAGCUCCAAAGUAACCGUGAGUCUCUUACAGAAUAUCUCUAUCAGGAAGGAGUCUUGGCCUCAAGGUGCAGGUGUGCAGGUGUGACCUCGAGAGACAUCCCUACUUGAGGGCAGAUCCCGUUGUGCAGCCCGCUGCUGUGCAGGAGAGCUCGAAGGGCACUUGGGCUGCUCCCUGUUUUGGGGCUCCAGUUCGACUUCUGCCUUGCAGCCGCGAUCAUCUCACCUGCAGGAGAGCAGCAGAUGGCCACAGCACAGCCAUGUCAGGAGCCCGUGAGCUUUGCGGAGGUGGCCGUGUAUUUCAGCAGGGAGGAGUGGGCGCUGCUGGACCCUGCGCAGCGAGCGCUCUACCGGGACGUGAUGCUGGAGACGUACCAGUGCGUGGCCUCGCUGGGUGAGGGCUUUGCUGCCUUUCCUCCUCGUUAGGGCACCUUUGGCUGUGCAGAAUGAGCCUCUGCAGGCAGGGCCUAGAAGAAUAGCCGUGCAGUUACAUA